UAACCUUGCGAAAGUAAGACUAAUACCCAAUGACGUCUCUAGAAGACAUCUGAAGGAGAUUAAAGAUUUAUCGGUGAUGGAUGGGGAUGCGUCUGAUUAGCUUGUUGGCGGGGUAACGGCCCACCAAGGCGACGAUCAGUAGGGGUUCUGAGAGGAAGGUCCCCCACAUUGGAACUGAGACACGGUCCAAACUCCUACGGGAGGCAGCAGUGAGGAAUAUUGGUCAAUGGACGAGAGUCUGAACCAGCCAAGUAGCGUGCAGGAUGACGGCCCUAUGGGUUGUAAACUGCUUUUAUAAGGGAAUAAAGUGAGUCUCGUGAGACUUUUUGCAUGUACCUUAUGAAUAAGGACCGGCUAAUUCCGUGCCAGCAGCCGCGGUAAUACGGAAGGUCCGGGCGUUAUCCGGAUUUAUUGGGUUUAAAGGGAGCGUAGGCCGGAGAUUAAGCGUGUUGUGAAAUGUAGACGCUCAACGUCUGCACUGCAGCGCGAACUGGUUUCCUUGAGUACGCACAAAGUGGGCGGAAUUCGUGGUGUAGCGGUGAAAUGCUUAGAUAUCACGAAGAACUCCGAUUGCGAAGGCAGCUCACUGGAGCGCAACUGACGCUGAAGCUCGAAAGUGCGGGUAUCGAACAGGAUUAGAUACCCUGGUAGUCCGCACGGUAAACGAUGGAUGCCCGCUGUUGGUCUGAAUAGGUCAGCGGCCAAGCGAAAGCAUUAAGCAUCCCACCUGGGGAGUACGCCGGCAACGGUGAAACUCAAAGGAAUUGACGGGGGCCCGCACAAGCGGAGGAACAUGUGGUUUAAUUCGAUGAUAC
rnacentral:rRNA from 1 species